GGGCAAAUUAUAUGUACUUAGCCAUGAUUUUGUCUUAUUUAUUAUGUUACCUGUGCAUGUACAGUGUAAUUCCUCUUAAGUUUGUUUGGGUGUUUUCUACAUACCUGUAGAUGAUGAAAAAACAUUUUUGUCAAGUGUAUGUGAAGUUUUGUGUAUGAACUGGUUCAUGUAUAGAUAAGGAGUAUCCCGGCAUUGUAGUUUCAAUUAACGUAAACAUUCCCUUUAUAUAUUACAUGUAAUACCAAUGUAAUAGACAACACACAUACCAAUGUAAUGGACAACACACAUACCAAUGUAAUGGACAGCACACAUACCAAUGUAAUGGACCACACACAUACCAAUGUAAUGGACAACACAAGAAUACAUGUUACAUACUUAGUAUUAAUCUUGGCACUUAAUUGAGAAAUCCUGUGACAAAAGACCACAAACCUUAGUCAUUAUUUUAAUACUGAAAUUGCAUGCACUAGUAUAGGCAUUCAUUUUUUUCUAUCUUCUUUCUAUUUUUUUUUUGAAAAAACAAACUGAUAAAUCUAUGAACAUUCUGGUAUUUAUCAAAAUCUAUCAUUUGUUUGUGUUACAAAGAUUAUAUUUUCACUAUUAUUUUUGUAUGUGUUUUUUUUAAGAAAUGCAUGACCUUUGCGCGAACAUCUUUUAUUGUUGCAAGUGUUAAUGUAUGAAAUGGACUGUUAUAGAUCCACCUUGGGUUUUUUGUUUUCUUCAUGACUCAGCAUCAAUAUUUUUGACUUUCCUGUGUUACACAAAUGUAAAUAAUGUUAGCGCUUUCAUUUAAGAUUUAAAUAUUAAGGAGUGUACAUGUAUGUAUGAAUAAACAAAUAUGUUUU
rnacentral:misc_RNA from 1 species